UUCUAUGAUUCUAAGGGUUGCCUGCUCCUCUGUACAUUAAUUCUUGGAAGCAGAUGCCAGGCUGGGGAGAGCUGUUUCCUUGUGGGGAAGGUGCAUAUUGUCCCCUGCAGAGUAGCUUAUUGGUAAAUGGGGAGGCAGCCUUACCUGUAUAAUGUGCUCUGGGUAAUCGUUAGCUUUCCAAGUGUUACAGUUAAAGUAGCAUGAUAGCUCACUUAGGCUUCCCUGUGCCUGCACAUGAUGAAAACUAUGUUGGUAGGGACAUCUGAGAGGGUGAUGAAUACCAACAUAUCUGAGCUGGGCAUGGAGUAGUGUGCAGUGGUGUAUCUGUCAUGGCUGAAAUGCCAUGCGGCCCUUUCUGGGCAGCCAGACCAGUGGCUGCAGGACUGACCUGGUGCUUACAUGCUAGAAUCAAAGCUAUAGAAAACCUUUAUGAAGUUAAGUGUGCUGUCCUGCUUAAAAAUAGGGGCUGCCAAUUAUUUCUGUGGCUUUGUCUCUCAAAAGAGCUGAAGUGUGGGUUGCUUCAGGGCGAACUUUGCUGUAAGGCUUGGAUUAUUGUUUUGAGUUUUACUUGCAUUUUUAAAAGAGAAUGUGUGAACAUAACAUCUUCAUUCUUACAAUAAGGAAAAGCUAAUGAAUACUCUCUUGUUUUCAGUUUUAAGAUGCAUCAACUACACUCUUCCCCUCUCUUACGGCUUCAAAACAGAUCUGCCACUGAAUAUGGAGACUUGAUGCUACUUCACAAGGACUUGAAUUGUGCCUGUGGAAGACUUGCAGAAGAAACAUCAGCAGGCACUGGGAGAUGAAGUGAUAAGCUGUGCAAGGCUGCCCUGGACAGAGGAUACGUGUGCCUCCAGUGUGAGAAGCUGUUUCACCUGUUACUGAUGCUGGUGAAGACAAGGCCUUCCUGAUUGAAGGGUUUCCAAAGUGUUUCUCACUGUGAUGGCUGGUGUGGUGGAGCUGUGGAGUGGUACAGUUGGUAGAGCUACCAGUAAAAAUUUAAGAAUGGGAGAACUGCUGGAUACUUUGUGACAAAUGCUUCUUACUUGAGUGUGGAGCUUGUGGGAAGUUUGUGACACAAGACUAACUUAUAUCUGAGGAAAGGACUGUGCUGUCUGCAACCUCAUUGGGUGAGGAGGCAACUUUGAAACUACUGUAUGAAGAACAGAGAAGGUGGAAGAUUGCAGAAUAAUGGGUUACAACUGCAUGAACAGCAUUUAAAAAAGCCAAGCUUUUUUCACACACUGGUAAUGUUUGCCUGAUACUGAUUGGAACAAAUA